UUGUAUUUCUCUAUUGUAAUGUAUGUUUAAAGAAAUAUUGUUUUUAUAUCAUCUUAAUGUAUGUGUAACAAAUGUUGUUUUAUAUAAUAUGUAUUUUUUUUAGAUUUAAAAAAAAUUAUUUGGAGUUUUAGGGUUUAAGUUGGAGAAAGAGUAAGAAGAAGUAAAGAAGAAGAUGUUAGAUGAUAUGUGACUUUGGGGUUUAGGGAUUUCAUUCUCGGGGUUUAGGGUUAAGCGUAGUAAAAUCCUUGUAAAACUAACACGGGCCUGGUAACUUCGUCGUAAAUGAGAAUGCCGAUUCCACGUAAUUUCGUCGUAAAUGGAAAAAGACGAAUCCUGGUAAAUUCGUCGUAAAUGAAAAAAAGACGGGCCUGGUAACUUCGUCGUAAAUGAAAAAAGACAGGUCUGGUAACUUCGUCGUAAAUGAAAAAAGACGGGCCUGGUAACUUCGUCGUAAAUGAAAAAAGACGGGUCCGGUAACUUCGUCGUAAUAUUACGUGAAGUUUACGACGAAUGCCUUUUCCUAUAUAUUGAGACGCGCCAGAACGAGGGUGUGUCGUUCAUUACUCCCAAAAUCCUCUCUCCCUCUAAAGGUACCCCCCUCUCUCCUCUAUUAUUUUUUUAAGUUAGUUUAGGUGAUUAAUUAGUUAGGUAAUUAGUUUAG
rnacentral:lncRNA from 1 species